rnacentral:rRNA from 1 species
CCCGUCACAUCAUGGGAGCUGGAUGCACCCGAAGUCGCUGACCUAACCCGCAAGGGAGGAGGCGCCUAAGGUGUGGCUAGUGACUGGGAUG